rnacentral:rRNA from 1 species
GACGAACGCUGGCGGCGUGCCUAAUACAUGCAAGUAGAACGCACAGUUUAUACCGUAGCUUGCUACACCAUAGACUGUGAGUUGCGAACGGGUGAGUAACGCGUAGGUAACCUGCCUGGUAGCGGGGGAUAACUAUUGGAAACGAUAGCUAAUACCGCAUAAAAUUGAUUAUUGCAUGAUAAUUAAUUGAAAGGUGCAAUUGCACCACUACCAGAUGGACCUGCGUUGUAUUAGCUAGUAGGUGAGGUAACGGCUCACCUAGGCGACGAUACAUAGCCGACCUGAGAGGGUGAUCGGCCACACUGGGACUGAGACACGGCCCAGACUCCUACGGGAGGCAGCAGUAGGGAAUCUUCGGCAAUGGACGAAAGUCUGACCGAGCAACGCCGCGUGAGUGAAGAAGGUUUUCGGAUCGUAAAGCUCUGUUGUAAGAGAAGAACGGGUGUGAGAGUGGAAAGUUCACACUGUGACGGUAUCUUACCAGAAAGGGACGGCUAACUACGUG